GGGCCCGCACAAGCGGUGGAGCAUGUGGUUUAAUUCGAUGCAACGCGAAGAACCUUACCUGCCCUUGACAUCCUCGGAAGGGACCGGAAACGGACCUGUGCCUUCGGGAACCGAGAGACAGGUGCUGCAUGGCUGUCGUCAGCUCGUGUCGUGAGAUGUUGGGUUAAGUCCCGUAACGAGCGCAACCCACGUCUUUAGUUGCCAGCAUUUAGUUGGGCACUCUAGAGAGACCGCCGGUGAUAAACCGGAGGAAGGUGUGGAUGACGUCAAGUCAUCAUGGCCUUUAUGUCCAGGGCUGCACACGUGCUACAAUGGGACGUACAAAGGGAAGCGAACCCGCGAGGGCAAGCAAAUCUCAAAAAGCGUCUCUCAGUUCGGAUUGCAGGCUGCAACUCGCCUGCAUGAAGCUGGAAUCGCUAGUAA
rnacentral:rRNA from 1 species